AUUUUCACUUGACCAGACUGCGCUUAAGUAAAACCGAGACCAAACUCAACGGUCUUAUCUAGUUCCUUAUAAGUGUAUACUUUAGGGUAGCGAUCGUAAGUCUGAGCCUAGCAUCAUGGUAUUAGCUGCUUUGCUAAGCGCAACCAGCUGAAGUCAACAAAGCUUAUAAAGACGCCCACGCGACUGCAAGCCUUCUCAUUUCCAAAGUGCUCUGCCAAACGCACUAGACUAAGUGUAAAACGCAGUAGUAAAGAAAUUUCGUGCGAUCAAAGGCAUUCCGAUCGGCGUUGGCAAAACCCCAGGUGCCUCGAGCAAGUUCUGGUUUACGGAAACACUUCCAAGGCAAAGCUGAACAGUUUCAAUUAAAACUCUCGGGAAUUAUAUUGCAUCACAGUUUUCCCCCCAUACUCAGACGCAUCACGGCUUACGCUGGAACGGCCUUGAGUUCAGGAUUUCUGGAUACGAAAGUAAUUCGUGGCUUUCUAUAAGAACCACGCCCAACUUUGAGUGCUAUUCUCAUCGGAUCAGGAAACUGAGGACAUCAAAUAAACAUUGAAGGCUUAGCGACCCCUUCUAUAAAUUUUGCACAGUCUCUAAAAGUUUGGUGAAAAUGGUUGUUGCUGGAAUAUUAAAACCUGGCGAUGACACAAAUGAAUACAGUUAAAGCUUUUCAUUUGCCAAUGUAAUCUUUAUCAGUGUACACCCCGCUCUGCUAAGUUAUUAAAAAUCCGCAUGGCCGCAUCCACUGCUGGUAACCUUAUAUGUAUUAUUCUUGGCAAAUCCAUGUGAAAAAAAAACUAAAAUUAACUAAGAGCAAUUCGAACAGGAAAAAACAAAAAAGAUAAGAGACCAGCUACACACACCUUUGAGUGAUUAAAAGAAUGUAACCAAAAC